GGAGAGAUGGCUGAGUGGUUGAUAGCUCCGGUCUUGAAAACCGGUAUAGUUUGAAACAAAUAACUAUCGAGGGUUCGAAUCCCCCUCUCUCCU
rnacentral:tRNA from 1 species